rnacentral:lncRNA from 1 species
AAUUCCAUCCUAAAACUACCAGAUUAGACAAAGAAAAGCAAGCCUCUGCACAGGGGUUUGGAGCAAGGUGUUGACCAAAAUUUGGAUGUCAGAACUCAAGCAGGGAGAAGAGGCUAGAGUGCAGUGGUGCGAUCUCGGCUCACUACAACUCCUACCUCCUGAGUUCAAGCGAUUCUCCUGCCUCAGCCUCCCGAGUAGCCAGGACUACAGGUACGUGCCACCAUGCCUGGCUAAUUUUUGUAUUUCUAGUAGAGACAGGGUUUCACCAUGUUGGCCAGGGUGGUCUCGAUCUCUUGACCUCAUGAUCCACCCACCUCCGCCUCCCAAAGUGCUGGGAUUAC